rnacentral:rRNA from 1 species
UACAGAGGGUGCAAGCGUUGUUCGGAAUUAUUGGGCGUAAAGCGCGUGUAGGCGGUCCUGCAAGUCGGAUGUGAAAGCCCUCGGCUUAACCGAGGAAGUGCGUUCGAUACUACAGAACUUGAGUACCGGAGAGGGUGGCGGAAUUCCCGGUGUAGAGGUGAAAUUCGUAGAUAUCGGGAGGAACACCAGUGGCGAAGGCGGCCACCUGGACGGCUACUGACGCGGAGAAGCGAAAGCGUGGGGAGCAAACAGG